CACCCCCUAUCCCGCACCAUGUCACCCGCUGUGCUCCUUCCCAGGUGCUGACCUGACAGCAGUGGACCCUGUUCGGGGCAAGACGGCCCUGGAAUGGGCAGUGCUGACUGACAGCUUCGACACCGUGUGGAGGAUUCGGCAGCUGCUGAGGCGGCCCCAAGUGGAGCAGCUUAGCCAGCACUACCACCCCGAGUGGCCGGCCUUGUCCGGGCUCGUGGCCCAGGCCCAGGCCCAGGCCCAGGUUGCCCCUUCACUCCUAGAGCGGCUGCAGGCUACCUUGAGCCUCCCCUUUGCCCCAUCUCCUCAGGAGGGGGGUGUUCUGGACCACCUUGUGACUGCCACAACCAGCCUGGCCAGUCCCUUCGUCACCACUGCCUGCCACACUCUGUGCCCUGACCACCCACCUUCGCUGGGCACCCGAAGCAAGUCCGUGCCAGAGCUGUUAGUGCCAGCCGAAGCCCAGUCCUGCAGGACAUCAAAGUCUGGCCCUUCCUCUCUGGCGAUACCAGGAGCUCAGGAUAGAGAAGAGGAAACAGGAGGAGGAGGCCAGAAUGGCACAGAAGUAGGGGAAGAUGGGAUAGGACAGGCUGGGAACAGGUAGUCAGGCCCCUCCCAAGGCUUCUUUCCCCUCUGGAGUGCCUCCGGCCUCCCCAUCCACCUCUACCUAAGUAAAUCUGCUCUCAACCUGUAUAUAUACAAGGUCAUUCAUUCCAGCAUUGUUUACAAGAGUGAAAGAGUGGAAACACCUGAAGUGUCCAUCAGUAAGGGACACUUGAUUGAUUACGGAUGUAAUUGCUGUCCAUCCAUACAGUGCAUACUCUACAGUGUAUUCUAAAAUAAGACUAAGGAAGCUGUUUAUAUUCUGAUAUGAAACUACCAUCAAGAUGUAUAAAGUAAAAAUAACUAAGGAGUGGAACAGUGUA
rnacentral:sRNA from 1 species